rnacentral:rRNA from 1 species
UAGAGUUUGAUCCUGGCUCAGGACGAACGCUGGCGGCGUGCCUAAUACAUGCAAGUCGAGCGGUCCCUUCGGGGAUAGCGGCGGACGGGUGAGUAACACGUAGGCAACCUGCNNNCAAGACCGGGAUAACUAUCGGAAACGAUAGCUAAGACCGGAUAGCUGGUUUUCUCGCAUGAGAGAAUCAUGAAACACGGAGCAAUCUGUGGCUUGAAGAUGGGCCUGCGGCGCAUUAGCUAGUUGGUAGGGUAACGGCCUACCAAGGCGACGAUGCGUAGCCGACCUGAGAGGGUGAACGGCCACACUGGGACUGAGACACGGCCCAGACUCCUACGGGAGGCAGCAGUAGGGAAUCUUCCGCAAUGGACGCAAGUCUGACGGAGCAACGCCGCGUGAGUGAUGAAGGUUUUCGGAUCGUAAAGCUCUGUUGCCCUAGACGAACAGCAAGGCGAGUAACUGCGCUUUGUGUGACGGUAUAGGAGAAGAAAGCCCCGGCUAACUACGUGCCAGCAGCCGCGGUAAUACGUAGGGGGCAAGCGUUGUCCGGAAUUAUUGGGCGUAAAGCGCGCGCAGGCGGUUCGUUAAGUUGGGUGUUUAAGCCCGGGGCUCAACCCCGGUUCGCAUCCAAAACUGGCGAACUUGAGUGUAGGAGAGGAAAGUGGAAUUCCACGUGUAGCGGUGAAAUGCGUAGAGAUGUGGAGGAACACCAGUGGCGAAGGCGACUUUCUGGCCUAUAACUGACGCUGAGGC